UUGGGUUAAGUCCCGUAACGAGCGCAACCCUUGUCCUUAGUUACCAGCACGUUAUGUGGGCACUCUAAGGAGACUGCCGGUGACAAACCGGAGGAAGGUGGGGAUGACGUCAAGUCAUCAUGGCCCUUACGGCCUGGGCUACACACGUGCUACAAUGGUCGGUACAAAGGGUUGCCAAGCCGCGAGGUGGAGCUAAUCCCAUAAAACCGAUCGUAGUCCGGAUCGCAGUCUGCAACUCGACUGCGUGAAGUCGGAAUCGCUAGUAAUCGUGAAUCAGAAUGUCACGGUGAAUACGUUCCCGGGCCUU
rnacentral:rRNA from 1 species